CCAAUAGCGUAUAUUAAAGUUGCUGCAGUUAAAAAGCUCGUAGUUGAAUUUCGGGAUCAAUAUGUUGGUCGUGCCUCGGUACGUACUAGCUUAUUGGUUUCUCCCUUCUGACGAACCAUGAUGUCAUUUAUUUGGUGUUAUGGGAAAUCAGGACUGUUACUUUGAAAAAAUUAGAGUGUUUAAAGCAGGCUCACGCUUGA
rnacentral:rRNA from 1 species